rnacentral:rRNA from 1 species
GUAGGGUGCGAGCGUUAAUCGGAAUUACUGGGCGUAAAGUGUGCGCAGGUGGCCGCGCAUGUCGAGUAUGAAAUCCCCGGGCUUAACUUGGGAAUUGCGCUCGAAACUACGUGGCUCGAGUGUGGCAGAGGAAGGUGGAAUUCCACGUGUAGCGGUGAAAUGCGUAGAGAUGUGGAGGAACACCGAUGGCGAAGGCAGCCUUCUGGGCCAACACUGACGCUCAUGCACGAAAGCGUGGGGAGCAAACAGGAUUAGAUACCCUGGUAGUCCACGCCCUAAACGAUGAUGACUAGUUGUUGGGGGAGUUAAAUCCCUUAGUAACGCAGCUAACGCGUGAAGUCAUCCGCCUGGGGAGUACGGUCGCAAGAUUA